rnacentral:rRNA from 1 species
GCUGAUCCAGCAUGCCGCGUGAGUGAUGAAGGCCUUAGGGUUGUAAAGCUCUUUUACCCGGGAUGAUAAUGACAGUACCGGGAGAAUAAGCUCCGGCUAACUCCGUGCCAGCAGCCGCGGUAAUACUACAUGCCAGCAGCCGCGGUAAUA